rnacentral:lncRNA from 1 species
UUUAUUUGUGGCAUAAUCUAAAACUCCCAUUAAUUAAUGCUAGUUAAAAUUUAAAAAUCUCAAGUCCAAAAUAGUCCAAAAUCCAAAUCAAUGUUUAUGUGAGAUCUGAAAUCCUAGAUCUACCGCCACCACUUUCAUCUCUUCUCCAUUAUUACCAUCAAGCUCGCUCCAGUGUUCGAGAUCAGAGGGAGAGUAAGCUCGCCACUGUCGCCAUUCAUGUCCUCGUCGUUGCCGCCAUCAAGCUUCUAUGUCAAUGUGUUGUUUCCUUCGUCUACACGCCAUAGCUUUUGAGAUCAGAGAGAGUGAGUUCGUAGCCACCGCCGGCGCCUCCAUCAAGCUUAUCCGUCGACGCGUUUGAUUUUCUCCUCAAUCACCUAAGUUCAAUUUCUGUUUGUUCAUUUUUUUUC